rnacentral:rRNA from 1 species
GCAAGUCGAGCGGACCUUCGGGUCAGCGGCGGACGGGUGAGGAACACGUGAGUGAUCUAUCGAUGAGUGGGGGAUAUCGGGCCGAAAGGCGCGGCAAUCCCGCAUACGUUCCUACGGGAAGAAAGCUGGGCAACUGGCGCUCAUCGCGGAGCUCGCGGCCCAUUAGCUAGUUGGGGGGGGUAACGGCCUCCCAAGGCGACGACGGGUAGCUGGUCUGAGAGGACAACCAGCCACACUGGCACUGAGACACGGGCCAGACUCCUACGGGAGGCAGCAGUGAGGAAUAUUGCGCAAUGGGGGCAACCCUGACGCAGCAACGCCGCGUGUGGGAAGAAGGCUUUCGGGUUGUAAACCACUUUUGCCCGGGACGAAAGGGGGGGCCUGAAUAAGGUCACCCGAUGACGGUACCGGGAGAAUAAGCCACGGCUAACUCUGUGCCAGCAGCCGCGGUAAGACAGAGGUGGCAAGCGUUGUUCGGAGUUACUGGGCGUAAAGAGUCUGUAGGUGGUCUGUCAAGUCUUUGGUGAAAGGCCGUGGCUUAACCAUGGGAAUGCCAAAGAGACUGGCAGACUGGAGGCUGGGAGAGGGAAGCGGAAUUUCUGGUGUAGCGGUGAAAUGCGUAGAUAUCA